GAUGAAGAACGCAGCGAAAUGCGAUAAGUAAUGUGAAUUGCAGAAUUCAGUGAAUCAUCGAAUCUUUGAACGCACCUUGCGCCUUUUGGUAUUCCGAAAGGCACACCUGUUUGAGCGUCAUGAAUACCUCAAUCUCCAUCUUUUCUUCGGAUUGAUGGGUGACUUGGAUGUUGAGCCCUGCUGGUAUGCUAUAUCAGCUGGCUUUAAACUUAUUAGCCGGCUCUGUACUGGAUCGGUUUGACUCGACGUGAUAAUAUUAUCGUUGAGGAUGCAUGUCUCAUGCAGCCGGAAAGUAUCAAAGCAGCUUCUAGCUUGCAUUUAGUGCACUUUUACAUUUUAGACCUCAGAUCAGGUGGGACUACCCGCUGAACUUAAGCAUAUCAAUAAGCGGAGGA
rnacentral:misc_RNA from 1 species